AUGGCCAUCGUGCUGGAUGCCUUCGCGUCCUAUGUCGCUGACAUGCUCAAGCAGGUGGUGGAGGACGAGGUGGGGAUGCUGCUCGGCGUCACCGGCCAGAUCGACAAGAUGGGCGUCAAGCUUGGGGACCUCAAGAAAUUCCUGGCCGAUGCCGAGAGGAGACGCAUCACCGACACCAGCGUGCAGGGCUGGGUGACCGAGCUCAAGCGCGCCAUGUACGACGCCACCGACAUCCUCGACAUCUGCCAGCUCAAGGCCAUGGAUCACCAUGCAGCAUCACGCAUGGGGUGCUGCAACCCGUUGCUCUUCUGCUUGCGGAACCCCCUCUCCGCCCAUGAAAUCGGCACCCGCAUCAGGGCGCUCAACCAGAAGCUCGACGACAUCAAGGAGCGAAGCGCUGCCUUCGGCUUCGACCUUUGUUCGUACGAGGACUCUAGCAGCAAGGUACAUUCCUCUCGCUUGUCUACCAGCCGCGAGACGUCGUGGGAGCUCGACCGGUCAGGUGUGGUCGGGGAGAAGAUCAAAGAAGACACAAGGGCACUUGUAGAAAUCAUGGUGAGAAGACCUGAGGUAGAAACCAGCAAUGCAGACAACAACAGAGUCAUGGCUUUUGCCAUUGUGGGUGUUGGUGGGAUCGGCAAGACCACCCUCGCUCGGAAGGUCUUCAACGAUGAAGCCAUAAAUGCCAAUUUCGACACCAAGAUAUGGUUGAGUGUCAACCAGGGCUUCGACAAGGUUGAGCUUCUUAGGACAGCCAUCACUCUUGCCGGGGGAAAGCACCGUAGUGAAAAAGCGUUGGCAGUGCUUUGGCCAAUCCUUAGUGAUGCCUUGACAGGGAAGAAGAUAUUCCUGAUAAUGGAUGACGUGUGGAGCCAUGAAGCAUGGGGUGAUGUGCUUGAAACACCCCUUGUUAAUGAUGUGGCCCGAGGUAGCCGUGUCCUCAUCACUACUAGAGAUACAAGAGUUGCCCGAGGGGUGAAAGCUGUGCUUCCCUACCACCACGUCGACAAAUUAGAUGAUGAAGAUGCCUGGUCAUUGCUCAGGAAACAGGUAAUUUCAAGUGAGACAGAUAGACCUGAAGUUGAUAUGCUUAAGGAUAUUGGAUUGCAAAUUGCUGUAAAAUGUGGUGGUUUGCCUCUUGCUGUCAAAGUAAUGGGAGGACUGUUGUGUCAGAAGGAUAAACAACGCCAUGAAUGGAAUAUGGUUCUGAAUGAUUCUAUAUGGUCGGCAUCUGAAAUGCCUGAAGAGCUAAACUAUUCAAUAUAUUUAAGCUAUGAAGAUUUACCUCCUUCCAUCAAGCAGUGCUUUCUAUACUACUCCCUUCUCCCUAAAAGUGCAGUGUGGUAUAAAAAUAGCAUUAUUGGUAUGUGGAUUAGUGAAGGAUUUCUUCAUGGAACCUCUGCUGACUUGGAAGAACUAGGAAGCAAGUACUAUAAGGAGCUGAUUCUGAGGAACCUUAUAGAGCCAGUUACAAAAUGGGCUGAUCAGCAAGUUUGCAGCAUGCAUGAUGUUGUUCGCUCAUUUGCUCAGUUUGUGGCUAGAGAUGAGGCACUAGCAGCUCAGAGUGGAGAGACUGGUUUCAUUACUAAACUUAGUUCACACAAGUUCCUUCGGUUGUCUAUGGAAAAGAAAGUAUCAGAAUCAGAUGGGUUGGACUGGAGUUCCUUACAUGCACAAAAGACACUGAGAACACUAAUAUUAGUUGGCCCUAUAUCUAUGAAGCCUAGUGAUUCGAUUGUUGAUUUUCCCUGCCUACGAACUCUACAUACAGAAUCUGUAGAUGUUGCUGUAUUGGUUGAGUCUUUGGGGAAACUCAAGCACUUGAGGUACUUGUUCAUAUGGAAAUCCGAUAUAUCAAGUUUGCCAGAUAACAUUGGAAAUAUGAAAUUUCUGCAGUUCAUUUGCCUUGUAAAAUGCCAGCAAUCUGUGAAACUUCCACAUAGCAUUUUGAAGCUAGCGCAACUGAGGUAUCUUAACUUUCAUGACUCUAGUAUAAAUGGUAUACCAAAGGGGUUCAGUGUUCUAACAAAUCUAAGGAACCUGCGUGGGUUUCCAGCCCAGACAGAUGGUGUUUGGUGUAGUUUGGAUGAGUUAGGCCCUCUUUCUGAGCUCAGAUCUCUUGGAGUGCAGAGAUUGGAGAAUGUGUCUGUUACCUCGUCUGCGGCAAAGGCAAAGCUUGGUGAGAAAGUUCAUCUGACCCACUUGUUUUUAUACUGCAGCAGUAUAUUGGGAGAUGAUGGGCUGAUUAAAGAUGAAAAGGGUGUCUCUGAGGAAGAACAGCGACAAAUUGCGGGUGUGUUUGAUGAGCUCUGCCCUUCGCCUAGCUUAGAGUAUCUUGAUAUAAAUGGAUUUUUUGGCCGACGGCUCCCAAGGUGGAUGAUGUCAAGAUCAGCACCGGUCUUCAAGAGCUUGAGGAUUAUAUUCAUGCUUGAUCUAGCUUGUUGCACCCAACUACCAGAUUGCUUGUGUCAACUCCCAUGUUUGCAGGACAUUACGAUCCGUCGCGCUCCAGCCAUCAAGCAUGUUGGACAUGAAUUCCUGCAAUCCUACCAGACACCGGCUGCGUUCCCGAGAUUGAGGAAGUUGGAGUUAACUGGAAUGGUGGAAUGGGAGGAGUGGAAGUGGGAGGAGCAAGUGCAAGCCAUGCCUCUUUUGGAGGUGCUUGAGCUCGAAAAUUGCAGAUUGAGGUGUCUUCCUCCUGGCCUUGCCUCACAUGCAAGGGCUUUAAAGUCUAUAUCUGCACAAAAUAACCAGCACCUCAACUCACUAGAGAACUUUGCUUCUGCUGUUGAGCUGGAAGUGGCUAAAAACCCCGACUUGGAGAGGAUCACUAAUCUUCCCAAUCUGCGGAAGCUUGAGAUCGAGGCUUGCCCAAAGCUGAAUGUACUGGAGGGUAUUUGUGCACUCCAGAGGCUCGUAUUGGAGGAUUAUGCCAUGGAAACACUUCCUGGAUACAUGCAAGAUGUAAACCCAAGGCAUUUUGAGUUACGCUGCAGCCUGACGUUGCUCACUUCCAUAGCCGCGGGACAAUCUGGCCCUGAGUGGGAUAGGUUCAGUCAUAUCGACCAUGUCAAGGCAUAUGCACCUGAUGAGAACAAUACAAGGAAAUGGUACGUGUUGUACACGAGAGAGCCCUGCAGCUUGAUCACAAAUGUCCGUCACUCCAUAUCUGCAGGGGAUGAACAGGAGGACCAGCAAGUAAUUUCAUGA
rnacentral:rRNA from 1 species